UGCGUAGGCGGAUUAAUAAGUCAGUGGUGAAAUCUUUCGGCUCAACCGAGAAACUGCCAUUGAUACUGUUAAUCUUGAGUUCGGUUGAGGUAGGCGGAAUGUGUAAUGUAGCGGUGAAAUGCUUAGAUAUUACACAGAACACCAAUUGCGUAGGCAGCUUACUAGACCGACACUGACGCUGAGGCACGAAGGCGUGGGGAGCGAACAGGAUUAGAUACCCUGGUAGUCC
rnacentral:rRNA from 1 species